rnacentral:rRNA from 1 species
AUUGAACGCUGGCGGCAGGCCUAACACAUGCAAGUCGAGCGAGCGGCGGACGGGUGAGUAAUGUCUGGAAAACUGGCUGAUGGAGGGGGAUAACUACUGGAAAAGGUAGCUAAUACAGCAUACCAUCAGAGGUGCCGAGAUGGGAUUAGCUAGUAGUUGGGGUAACGGCUCACCUAGGCGACGAUCCCUAUCUGGUCUGAGAGGAUGACCAGCCACCCUGGAACUGGGACACGGUCCAGACCCCUACGGGAGGCGGCAGUGGGGAAUAUUGCCCAAUGGGCGCAAGCCUGAUGCAGCCAUGCCGCGUGUGUGAAGAAGUGCUUCGGGUUGUAAAGCGCUUUCAGCGGGGAGGCGUUACCCGCACAAGAAGCACCGGCUAACUCCGUGCCAGCCGCCGCGGUAAUUC